GCUCUUCCUAUCUGGUAAUACAGUACAAGGAGAAAAGUGGUCAAGUCCUUCAGAUUUCCAAGGAAAAGCGUUUUAUUUCACAUAUCUUUAUUGCAUUAUGCUGAGAAGGAAGGAAAAGUAUUCCAGGUAUUGCAAACUUAAAAUGAUCCUUUUAAAAUGUCUUUCAUUUAUUGCUAAAAAAAAAAAAAAAAAAAAAGUUUAAUGUUGUAAAAGCCACUUAUGUUGCCAACACCAGGAUAAAAGUGU